GUUCAGGGCAAACUGAGCAGGGACAGGUGUGGCCCCGGGGCCCUUGGGGGCUCUGGCGGCCCCUCACCCAGGACAGAGACCUGCCCCGAAGCCUGUCCACCUGCCUGGCGGCGACCUGCCCUUCCCCUUGGUGGCCGAGCCCUGGAGUUUCCUGGGCAGAAGCUGACAGUGAUGUCACCGUCCCGUGAUGCUCCUGGGUGACCUUGCUGCCUGAGCCGGUCCCACUUAUUUCUCCCGCACCCUUAAAGCUGCCCAGGGGACAACAUCGCUGAGAACCGAGGUGGGGGACAGGAGGCUGCAAAGGGGACGUCGCUUGGCCCCUCGACGAGUCCUGGGUCCUCACCAGGCAGCCUGGUCCUCCUAGUUUGGCCUGAAAAUCUGGGCCCUGCUAGUGUUACUCUUUUUUCUUUUUUGUGGGUACAGGGGGUUGAACUCAGGGACCCUCCACCCCUGAGCCCCAUCCCCAGCCCUUUUUCUAUUUUAUUGAGAGACAGGGUCUCCCUGAGUGGCUCAGGGCCUCGCUAAGUUUCUGAGGCUGGCCUCCACCUUGCGAUCCUCCUGCCUCAGCCUCCCCAGCCACUGGGAUGACAGGUGUGGGCCAGGCUCACUGUCCCCCUUUCCUGGAGGAGGAAACUGAGGGUGGGGGAAGCUGAGUCUGGUUCCCAUCUUUGGAGCCACGGUGCUGGGCUCCGGAUCAGGGCUCAAAUCCACAUCUUAAGAAAUGUGAGCCGUCCAAGCGAGGCCAAUGUUUUAUUUAUUUUCACUCCAAACUUCACCUCUGUGAGUCCAGUUCAGUGAUUCCAGGCCUUUCUCGGGACCUACCUCGGUUGAGCUGAGAGGACACUGGACACAGGAGGGCACUGAGACUGUGACACGGAACAGGGAUCCGAUCACAGACGUUCUGUCCAGCUGGCAGCUGGGGACAGGGACAGGCCCCUGCAUGCUGACAGGAGGCUCUGGCUGGGAGUCUCAUCCUCAGCCCCACAGGACGUGGGCAGCACCAGAAGCCCGUCUUUCCUUACAACUUCCACGUGGAACAAAGAAUGUUUUCUGUUCUUUGCUUUUGGCAGCAGCAGCAGCGCGUCAAAUGGACUCUCACCGACCACCGAGACUCAAGGGGGCAGAUGAACCACGGUGUUUGUCACACCAAGAGCAGGUCAAGACCCAGAUGGCCCUCAGAAUCCACGUGCUAGAGGAUCUCUCAGCGUCGGUCAGGUGA
rnacentral:lncRNA from 1 species